UGCUGGGGACUCUAACAAGACUGCCAGCGUAAGCUGUGAGGAAGGUGGGGAUGACGUCAAAUCAGCACGGCCCUUACAUCCGGGGCGACACACGUGUUACAAUGGGGAGGACAGAGGGCAGCCACCUGGCGACAGGGAGCCAAUCCCAUAAACCUUCUCUCAGUUCGGAUCGGAGUCUGCAACUCGACUCCGUGAAGCUGGAUUCGCUAGUAAUCGCGCAUCAGCCAUGGCGCGGUGAAUACGUUCCCGGGCCUUGUACACACCGCCCGUCAAGCCAUGGGAGUUGGGGGUACCUAAAGUCCGUAACCGCAAGGAUCGGCCUAGGGUAAAACCGAUGACUGGGGCUAAGUCGUAACAAGGUAGCCGUACCGGAAGGUGCGGCUGGAACACCUCCUUU
rnacentral:rRNA from 1 species